rnacentral:rRNA from 1 species
AGAGUUUGAUCCUGGCUCAGAUUGAACGCUGGCGGCAUGCCUUACACAUGCAAGUCGAACGGUAGAGGGGGCAACCCCUUGAGAGUGGCGAACGGGUGAGUAAGGCAUCGGAACGUGCCCAGGAGUGGGGGAUAGCUCGGCGAAAGCCGGAUUAAUACCGCAUGAGACCUGAGGGUGAAAGCGGGGGAUCGUAAGACCUCGCGCUACUGGAGCGGCCGAUGUCAGAUUAGGUAGUUGGUGGGGUAAAGGCCUACCAAGCCGACGAUCUGUAGCUGGUCUGAGAGGACAACCAGCCACACUGGGACUGAGACACGGCCCAGACUCCUACGGGAGGCAGCAGUGGGGAAUUUUGGACAAUGGGCGCAAGCCUGAUCCAGCCAUGCCGCGUGCGGGAAGAAGGCCUUCGGGUUGUAAACCGCUUUUGUCAGGGAAGAAAUCUCUUGGGUUAAUACCCUGAGGGGAUGACGGUACCUGAAGAAUAAGCACCGGCUAACUACGUGCCAGCAGCCGCGGUAAUACGUAGGGUGCGAGCGUUAAUCGGAAUUACUGGGCGUAAAGCGUGCGCAGGCGGUUGUACAAGACAGGUGUGAAAUCCCCGGGCUUAACCUGGGAACUGCACUUGUGACUGUACGACUGGAGUACGGCAGAGGGGGAUGGAAUUCCGCGUGUAGCAGUGAAAUGCGUAGAUAUGCGGAGGAACACCGAUGGCGAAGGCAAUCCCCUGGGCCUGUACUGACGCUCAUGCACGAAAGCGUGGGGAGCAAACAGGAUUAGAUACCCUAGUAGUCC